UCAUCUUCUCCUCAUCAAUUGUAGACGAAGAUUAAUUCCCAAAACACAACACAUAAAUCAUAUCUUCCAAAACACAACUCCAAUGUCUGAAACCAUGUCAAGCAUUGUUCAAUGUUCUAAGUUCUUACCUUGUUUUCCACUAAACACAACUCCAAUGUCUAAAACCAUGUUGUUUGCAGAACCGGAUCCGGAUCUGAACUCGGAUCAAAUCUUGGAUUGGUUAGAUGAUUCAACGCCGCACUCGCCAUUGAUCCUGGAUGAUCUAUAUUGCACCAUGGAUGAUACCCGAAUCCAAGAACAUUAGAACCGAUCACUCCAGAUCUUCACUCGACUGUCUCGCUCCACUUUCAGUGCUUUUCAUUGUAGAUCUCUUCUUUUUGUUGAAGGUGCACCGGCGUCGUCAUCUGCAUCAGAAUCUUCAAGACCACCACCUCUUUGUUAAACAACCUCCGGCGUCGUCAUCUGCACUUCACCGUCUCUGAUUCACCGGUCAAACACCAGACCAUCCACCUUCCGACCAACUCCAUCCCCGUACACCCACACCAACUGUUACACAUUUGGGAAUCAGAUUGUUUGGUCUUCCAUUUGAGUAAGGCGUCCACAGCGGCGGAAGAGGGCGACUGGUACCAGAACCACCACAACUGUUACACAUCAUUCGACCGGAACCAGCACAAGUCCGGCAUCCUCCGUCACCGUCACCUCUACCUCCACCACCCACCUGCAACCACCGCCCAAACCCACCCCUUCACUACACAAACUCACAACACCAUACAAAGUCACCGUCAUUGCAACAAAAAGAAGCAUAUACAAACCGAUAUACAGGUAAUCAUCGGUGAUUGCUUGAGGAUUUCGAAUGGGAUAUAGGGUUGGCUUCUUACGGAGAGGCAUAUGAAUUAUGUGUUUGUAGGAGAGUUAUGGAUUGUUGUGGUGAAGUGAAGUGUGGGGAGUUAGGAUUGCAGAUCCAAAUCCACAUCGAUGAGGAUAAAGUUUUUUUUCUUUAUUUUUUUGUUAUUUAUAAAUAUGUUCCAGAUCCACAUCCACAUCAGCAUGCCACAUAAGAUAAAUUAGCCACGUCAGCAAAAAAAACUAACCUAGUUAGUGUCCGGUUAACGACGGGGUGACAUAGCAACCCAAGUGUCCAGUUGGGGGUGGUGGGAGCCAACUUGAAAGUUGAGCGUGGUAUUGGCCAAUUUUGCAUAGUUGAGGGUGAUACAGUCCAUUUCCCCUUUACCAUUAUACAUUUGUAGAAAAAAGGUUUACGGAGGUAAGGAAAUGAAGAUAAAAUUAACGGGUUCAAGUUGGGAGUUUGGGUCGCACGGCAGGUUCAGGUUGUCGUCUGAAACACACCCAAAACUGAGUUCUAGAAUGUUUACUGUUCCCGGGUCGGUUUCGUGGGUAUGGUGUAGCCAAUUUUUAGUAAGACCUUUCAAAAAUUUUAUGCAACGGGAAAUAACGAAACUAGCUAUUGACCACGCCCUCUUUCAAGCGUCUGGAGCGACGUGAAAUCCAAAUGUAGUGGAGGCAUUUGGGAUGUAGCUGAAGCGUCUCUAAUACACCUGAAGGACUUGCAGAAGCUAAAGCGUCUGGGCUAUCUCCAAACCGAGUUGCAGACGUCUCCGGCACUACUUUUUUCCGGCGAUCUCUUUCAUGUAGGACUUCAUUUAAAGGGAUGUUUCAUGUACUUCAUGGUGCCCAAACCGAGUUGCAGACGUCUCUGGCAAUCUCCGACAUUUUCUCAUCGCCGUUUGGGUCCAAGCUAUUGCUGGAGAUUGUUCCGGUGCCGUCUGCAGGUUGAGGUGAAGACAUAAGUGGUGAGAUAGCAAGUUAGUGUGUUGGAGACGUCUGCAUGUACAUGCAUGUUGAUUGGGGUUGGAAGUGACGUCUGCAAGUGAAUACAUGUGGAGGUGACAGCUGGUUGUUGGAAUAGGUGGCGCCACAUGUCCGUUUUUAAUUGGGUUUUAGCGAGACGCCUGUGAGAGACGCUUCAGUUGCUUGGGUUUCCGUGAGACGUCUGCAUAGAGACGCCUCAGAUGGCUAUUUUUGAAAAUGGUUUUGGUCAAUGGCUAGAUUGGUGAUUUCCCCUUUAUAAUAUAUGGAUUAAGGUUUUACUUUAGACAAUUUUUAGUGUUCGUAUAGUAAACUAAGAAACUACAAAAAAUGUUGGUAGAAUCAUCUGAAUAGGGUGUGAUUUGGUUAGAAGAAUCAUCUGUGCACAUGUUAAAGGGUAGUCAACGAAAUCAUUAUCCGAACGGCGAGCUCUCGUUGAUCAUAUUUCAUAACUAGCUGAACUGAUUCGUCCACAAACCUGUUGAAAGUUGUUUUUAGCGUUAUUUGGUUGCUCUCUCGCCCUAUUAACACAAAGUUAGACCAUAUGCAUACAAGAACGCGAAUAUUUUCAUUUCAGAACCAA